CUCAGCUGGGAGAGCACCUCCCUUACAAGGAGGGGGUCGGCGGUUCGAUCCCGUCAUCACCCACCA
rnacentral:tRNA from 28 species